rnacentral:rRNA from 1 species
UACGUAGGGCGCAAGUGUUGUCCGGAAUUAUUGGGCGUAAAGAGCUCGUAGGCGGUUUGUCGCGUCUGCUGUGAAAACCUAAGGCUCAACCUUGGGCUUGCAGUGGGUACGGGCAGACUAGAGUGCGGUAGGGGUGACUGGAAUUCCUGGUGUAGCGGUGGAAUGCGCAGAUAUCAGGAGGAACACCAAUGGCGAAGGCAGGUCACUGGGCCGCAACUGACGCUGAGGAGCGAAAGCAUGGGGAGCGAACAGG